ACAGAGGGUGCAAGCGUUAAUCGGAAUGACUGGGCGUAAAGCGUGUGUAGGUGGUUGGAUAAGUUAGAUGUGAAAUCCCUGGGCUUAACCUGGGCACUGCGUUUAAGACUGUUUAACUAGAGUACUGUAGAGGAUAGUGGAAUUUCCAGUGUAGCGGUGAAAUGCGUAGAUAUUGGAAGGAACACCAGUGGCGAAGGCGACUAUCUGGAUAGAUACUGACACUGAGACACGAAAGCGUGGGGAGCAAACAGG
rnacentral:rRNA from 1 species